GCACAAAAUCUAGCCUAGGAUUACACAUGAAGCCGCCCUUAAAAACUGCCACGAUAAAACAUUUUAACUUUUUAGUAGAGGUGAUCGAAAAAUUUCUAAGCGCUUAAGAGAUAGUACCGCAAGGGAAAAAUGAAAUAAAAAUGAAACAAAUCUAAAGCUCUGAAUAGCAGAGACACCCC
rnacentral:rRNA from 1 species